rnacentral:sRNA from 1 species
UGGGGCAGAGUCCAGGGCAGCUCAAGGCUCCUCCACACACACACCCGCUGAACCCUGAGCGCCCUGAGCUGCUGAGAUGGGGUGGGCCGGGGCUGCUGCCGUGAUCCCGGGCCUGGCCCUGCUCUGGGCAGUGGGGCUGGGGAGUGCCGCCCCCAGCCCCCCACGCCUUCGGCUCUCCUUCCAAGAGCUCCAGGCUUGGCAUGGUCUCCAGACUUUCAGCCUGGAGCGAACCUGCUGCUACGAGGCCUUGCUGGUGGAUGAGGAGCGUGGACGCCUGUUUGUGGGCGCCGAGAACCAUGUGGCCUCCCUCAACCUGGACAACAUCAGCAAGCGGGCCAAGAAGGUGCCAGGGACUCCCAACCCCAGCACUCCCCAGGGAAGGAGCCCUGGGACCCCACUCCAGCCUGGAGAGACCCAGAGGAAUGGCUCCCUGAGACUGAGUGCAUGAACUUCGUGAAGUUGCUGCAUGCCUACAACCGCACCCAUUUGCUGGCCUGUGGCACGGGAGCCUUCCACCCAACCUGUGCCUUUGUGGAAGUGGGCCACCGGGCAGAGGUAAGGCCGGAUCUAGGCAGGGAGCGAGGUCAGGAGGGUAAGAAGGGCCUGGUAGUCACAACUUGCCACACCUCCCAGGAGCCCGUCCUCCGGCUGGACCCAGGAAGGAUAGAGGAUGGCAAGGGGAAGAGUCCUUAUGACCCCAGGCAUCGGGCUGCCUCCGUGCUGGUGGGGGAGGAGCUAUACUCAGGGGUGGCAGCAGACCUCAUGGGACGAGACUUUACCAUCUUUCGCAGCCUAGGGCAACGUCCGAGUCUCCGAACAGAGCCACACGACUCCCGCUGGCUCAAUGAGCCCAAGUUUGUCAAGGUAUUUUGGAUCCCGGAGAGCGAGAACCCAGACGACGACAAAAUCUACUUCUUCUUUCGUGAGACGGCGGUAGAGGCGGCGCCGGCACUGGGACGCCUGUCCGUGUCCCGCGUUGGCCAGAUCUGCCGGAACGACGUGGGCGGCCAGCGCAGCCUGGUCAACAAGUGGACGACGUUCCUGAAGGCGCGGCUGGUGUGCUCGGUGCCCGGCGUCGAGGGCGACACCCACUUCGAUCAGCUCCGUGAGUGCGGGAGUGGGUAUGGGGUUGGGGAGGG